UAAUUUAUAUUUUAAUUAAGAUUAUUAGAAAUUUAUUUUUUAGUUAUGAUUGGGGUGAUUUUUAAAGAUUAUUAAUCUUUAAAAUUUUUUAAUAAAAAAGUUCCAUUAGUAUACGUUUUUUGAUAAAAAUACUCUAGGGAUAACAGCGUUAUUAUUUUGGAUAGUUCAUAUAGAUAAAAUAGUUUGCGACCUCGAUGUUGGAUCUAGAGAUUCUUUUAUGGAUGAAGAAGUUAUAAGGGAGAAGUUUGCUCAACUUUUAAAGUCCUACUUGAUCUGAGUUCAGACCGGG
rnacentral:rRNA from 1 species